rnacentral:rRNA from 1 species
UAAGGAAUAUUGGUCAAUGGAGGCAACUCUGAACCAGCCAUGCCGCGUGCAGGAAGAAGGCGCUACGCGUUGUAAACUGCUUUUGUACGGGAGAAAACCCAUCUACGUGUAGAUGGCUGAUAGUACCGUAAGAAUAAGCAUCGGCUAACUUCGUGCCAGCAGCCGCGGUAAGACGAAGGAUGCAAGCGUUAUCCGGAUUCAUUGGGUUUAAAGGGUGCGUAGGCGGUCCUGUAAGUCAGUGGUGAAAGCUCUCCGCUUAACGGAGAAACUGCCAUUGAUACUGCAAGACUUGAGUACAGAUGAUGUUGGCGGAAUAUGACAUGUAGCGGUGAAAUGCAUAGAUAUGUCAUAGAACACCGAUUGCGAAGGCAGCUGACAAAACUGUAACUGACGCUGAGGCACGAAAGUGUGGGGAUCAAACAG